rnacentral:lncRNA from 1 species
GGCACGUAGUAAGCGCUUGGCACGUAGUAAGCGCUUAAGUCUCACGAUUAUUAUUAUUAUAAGUGAGGGGGCUAGGAUUUGAAUCCAGGUCCUUUGAUUCCCAGACUCGCGGGCCCUUCCCCGCUUCCUCAGCUCUCCAAACCUACCGAGUCGAAUCAGCGGUGCGGCCAGUUGGGGUCUGUUCCCCCGGUUUCCGUUCCACAGCUGCCGUCCACAACGAGUCUCCCGCAGAGAUGAUGAUAACCUUCCCCAGAUCACGAAGGUGGGACGGCACCGCAGCCUGACCGCCCUGGGCCUGCUGCUGACGUGCGGCUUCCUGGACGCCGCCUGGACCGUGGCCUGGGUCCCCUCGGCCUGGGAGGGACCGUGGGGAGCAGACUCCCGGGGGGACUCCACCGACAGGACCGGCGGACCCACCAACUGCUCAGGUACCACCAAGGGAGGACCCUCGGUCUGCAGAGGCCCACGCGGGCGAGCAGGGAGGCCCGGAGACACCGGCGGGCUUCCGGGAAAGACGCCUGGAGGUGGAGGGGUGGCGUCGCCGCGCCGUGCAACUCUGGGCACCCCAGGGCACGGCCCGGCCACGACAACGGGGGAUUUCAGAGGUGAGGGCGCCGCCGCUCCCACCAUCCACCCACCCGCCACACUUGCAGGGGCGGCAGACGAUGGGAACCUGUCGCUUCCGGGGCAGCAGAGAGGGAUCGGGCCUAGUCGGGGACCAUCGGUUACCAUUCUAGAAGAACCAAGCUCCCGAGUGGAGUGGCGAGGCCAUCAUUCCGCCAACUCCUCUGCCCACACGGCCCUGUCCGCUGCCCCGGGACCAUCUGUCAAGACCGUUUCCCCGUCUUCUUCCGUUGGCUCAGCAACGCAAGUCGGCUGGCGCUUUCCGGCCUGCCGCCAGCACCCCCUGAAGCGCCUUCCCCUGGACCGCCUUCCCCAGACACCCUUUUGGGGGGGGGGGGAGGAGGGGCGGGAGGGGUACCCCCAUCUCCCAGGACACUUCCGGGCCUCGAGGUCCCUGUCCGGCCCCACUUCGCUCCAUCCGGAGGAGCAUUUUAGUGACAGUCACCAACCAGGCCUCCCCCCAGCUGGCACUGCGGUGCCCUCUGUACCCACUUGUCCCCCACCCCUCUGUCCCCCCAGGAGCCAAGAAAAGCCAGCCAGGGCUGCCGGCCCUAGGGCCCAGGUCCACGUCUUUCCCCCGGUGAUCCUACCCCUAUCUGCCUCUGCCGCUCCUGCCCGGCCUCCCCCGCACCCUCCACCUUCCCCCUGCCACCCCAGCUCCCCCCACACCUGACCUCUCCCCCAUCUGUCCGGCCCUCCGCUCUCUGCCCGCCUCUAGGGUUCCCCAUCUCCCCCGGAGGCCGAAGAGACUCUAGAGAAGCAGCGUGGCUCGGUGGAAAGAGCCCGGGCUUGGGAGUCGGAGGUCAAGGAUUCGAAUCCCGGCUCUGCCGCUUGUCAGCUGUGUGACUGUGGGCAAAUCACUUCGCUUCUCUGUGCCUCAGUUUCCUCAUCUGUAAAUUGGGGAUUAAGACUGUGAGCCUCACGUGGGACAACCUGAUUACCCUGAUUACCCCAGAGCUUAGAACAGUGCUCUGCACCUAGUAAGCACUUAACAAAUACCAACAUUAUUAUUAUUUUUACAUCACACGAGCAACCUUUUACCAAGGCUUUAAUGUGGCUAUAAAAAAGGCAUUGACUGUGGUUUCCUAUCUCCUCUCAAUGUGCCCCGCCCAAAUAAAACAGAUGGAGGGGGUUCAGUUUCUAAAACAUUGAAAUCCUAACGUUGACACAGUGUAAAGCGAAAGGUAACAGACCCACCUCCUCCCAUAUCACGGUAAGACCUCCAAAGAUUCCCCUACCCCGUCUCCGGUUUCUUUUCCUUUUUCCCAGGCAAUCUGGAACCACAGACCAAAUUACACUGUACCACCGGCUUGGUUUGUUUAGGGAUUUUUUUCUUUUUUUAACCAUACAAUCAGUUUUGAUUUCGGGAAGUGAAUAUGCUAACUGUACUCUUGUGUUUUCUUUAAAAGUUUCCAGUCCGACUACCAGUAGACAGACGGGCUCAGCAAAUAUUGCAAAAUAUUUCAGAAAUAAAUAA